rnacentral:rRNA from 1 species
GGGCAUGGGGUCGACUAGCCAUGCGAGUCAAUGUUCUUCGUGAACAUGGCGUACUGCUCAGUAACACGUGGAUAACCUGCCCUUAGGACUGGCAUAACCCCGGGAAACUGGGGAUAAUUCCGGAUAGUUCAUGGUAGCUGGAAUGCUCCAUGAUCGAAAGCUAUUGCGCCUAAGGAUGGGUCUGCGGUCUAUCAGGUAGUAGUGGGUGUAAUGUACCUACUAGCCGACGACGGAUACGGGUUGUGGGAGCAAGAGCCCGGAGAUGGAUUCUGAGACAUGAAUCCAGGCCCUACGGGGCGCAGCAGGCGCGAAAACUUUACAAUGCGGGAAACCGCGAUAAGGGGACACCGAGUGCCAGCAUCUUAUGUUGGCUGUCCGCAUGUAUAAAUCACAUGUGUUAGCAAGGGCCGGGCAAGACCGGUGCCAGCCGCCGCGGUAACACCGGCGGCCCGAGUGGUGGCCACUAUUAUUGGGUCUAAAGGGUCCGUAGCCGGUUUGGUCAGUCUUCCGGGAAAUCUGACGGCUUAACCGUUAGGCUUUCGGGGGAUACUACCAGGCUUGGGACCGGGAGAGGUAAGAGGUACUACGGGGGUAGGAGUGAAAUCUUGUAAUCCUCGUGGGACCACCAGUGGCGAAGGCGUCUUACCAGAACGGGUCCGACGGUGAGGGACGAAAGCUGGGGGCACGAACCGGAUUAGAUACCCGGGUAGUCCCAGCCGUAAACUAUGCUCGCUAGGUGUCAGGGACGGUGCGACCGUUUCUGGUGCCGCAGGGAAGCCGUGAAGCGAGCCACCUGGGAA